rnacentral:lncRNA from 1 species
GAAUCAGCCUGUCCUUCCUGCUCAGAGCAGAGUGCCAUGCUGUGCUGGAGGCUGAUAGCAAAAGUGAUGCGGGACAUCCACAGAUUGUGGACUUCAGUCUGCCCAUUUGCACCUGCUCCAAACUCCGCAGAAAGAAGACUGAGAAGAGCCUGGCCUACUACAUGAACCAUCAGAAGAGGACAGGCGAGCUGACCCUCGUCAACCCUAAGCCUUGUGGCCAGUUUUGCUGCUGUAAAGUGUGUGGCAGUGAGCGGGUGAGCAGUAACACCCUGUGCAGGUUUCCUGACCCACAGGACCAUGUCACCCACAGGCUGUGUCUCCUGGCAGGAGGAUGCCAUCACCUACUAUACACACCUGUACAAUAAACUGCUGGAGGAGAUCAUGGAGGAGGAGUGCCAGGUCCAGGACAAGCCCCUGGGAAUGGCUUUCGUCACCUUCCGAGAAAAGUCUAUGGCCAGCUACAUCCUGAAGGACUUCAGAACCUGCAAAUGUCAGAGCUGUCAGUGUAAAGGCGAAUCCCACUCAUCUGCCUACAGCAGAGAGCUCCACGUCUCCAAGUGGAGGGUCAGCGUGGCUGCCUACCCCCAGGACAUUUGCUGGUGAGAGUCAGUGUGGGCAGGAUGGAGGGUGGCCUGACUCCUUCAGGGGCCAACGGUCACCUGGAGACCAGGUGUGACUUGACAUUCAGUGGAAAUCUCUACAGGGCCCACAGGAUCCUCUGGGUCAACCCGG